rnacentral:tRNA from 1 species
GCCUUGAUGGUGAAAUGGUAGACACGCGAGACUCAAAAUCUCGUGCUUAAUCGCGUGGAGGUUCGAGUCCUCUUCAAGGCA